GUAGGCUAGCUAGGCUAAAAACAUCUGUAUUACUCCUCCUUCCAACCAACUGGAAACAGGUAGGCUAGCUAGGCUAAAAUACAUCUGUAUUACUCCUCCUUCCAACUGGAAACAGGUAGGCUAGCUAGGCUAAAAUACAUCUGUAUUACUCCUCCUUCCAACUGGAAACAGGUAGGCUAGCUAGGCUAAAAUACAUCUGUAUUACUCCUCCUUCCAAC